GGCGUCACCUGCCGGUCCGCGGGCGGCCGGUGUCCGCGCGUGGCCUGUGGGUCCACGGGCCCGGGGCCCUCAGGGUGGCCCUCGGUGGGCACGGGGACCAGGAAGGUCUGUCCCCUCAGCGGGCACGUAGACCUGGGAGGCCGGUCCCUCCUCGGGCAAGGGAACCAGCGAGGCCUGUCUCCUCCGCGGGCACGGGGAACCUUGGAGCUGGACCCUCAGCGGCCACGAGGACCACAGCGGCCUGUGACUCCGGAAACACCGGGACCGUGGGGAGGCGUAUCCAUCCUUGGCAUUGGGAACAUCUCUGCUGAGCACCUCAUCUUCCUGCAGCAUUUCUGGAUGCCUCAGACAGCGUCAUUGCCAAACCAUCCUUGCAAGGGCAAAAGCCUUGGAACUUAAAUGCAUCCAGAUGGUGGACCUUGGACCUCGGAGGACAUAGCCAGAAUUAUGUGAGCCAAUGAGAGCACGCAAGGAAACCCAGAUUAAAUCAAGGUCUCUGCCUUUGGCAUCCAGUCCUAACUGAAGUUACUUUGGUGAAAUUGCUUUGGAAGAAUGUGCACCAUCCUCAGGCACACUCCUUUUGCAGAAUACCUGAGACUGGGUGACUUACAGUGAACAGAAACUUACAUUACUCGUGGUCCUGGAGUUUGGGAAAGCUGACAGACCAGUACUGGCAUCCAUGGAGCCUUUGUGCUGCAUCAUUCGGGGCCAGAGGCUGAGGGCAAGGGAGAGCGAGCCAGAGCACCAGGGCCAGACUCUUCUCCAGUGCGUGACCUUUGGGGACACGUUGAAACCACAGAACCAGCCAUAUCCAGAAUGUCACUUUGUUUUGCCAUUUUUUUCUCUGACUCAUGGGCUCUUCAGAAAUACAUUUUUUAGCUUCCAAACAUGGGGGCGUCAUGAUUUUUAUUUUACCAACUUGCUCAUCCUGGGAUAAGAUCACUCUGUACUGUUGCCCUUCCAGUGCUCCGUACCAGUGGCACAUCAGGCCUUCGCCCCGGUGCCCUUACAGUCCUUCAUACCAGACAAGAGCUUCGGAGAUGGGCAUGGUGAUAGCUGUCCAGCAGUGUGAAUGACUUCAAAAUGUCAGAAUGGUGAAUUUUGUGUUAUGUUGGUUUUACUAUAAUUUUUAAAAAUAAUAAAAAUAAAGUACAA